GUGGGAGGGGGCUUGCUCCCGAUCGCAGUGUGUCAGAUGAAGAAUUCUUCACUGUCAUACCGCUAUCGGGAGCAAGCCCCCUCCCAC
rnacentral:misc_RNA from 1 species